rnacentral:rRNA from 1 species
UACGUAGGUGGCAAGCGUUGUUCGGAAUUAUUGGGCGUAAAGGGCGCGUAGGCGGCAUGGCAAGUCGGGAGUGAAAGGCCUGGGCUCAACCGAGGAACUGCUUUCGAGACUGCCAAGCUAGAGUGCGGAAGGGGCAUCUGGAAUUCCCAGUGUAGCGGUGAAAUGCGUAGAUAUUGGGAAGAACACCUGAGGCGAAGGCGGGAUGCUGGGCCGACACUGACGCUGAGGCGCGAAAGCCAGGGGAGCAAACGGG